AGAAAUUAAUGGACAUAAAUCUUUGGAUAUGCAAAAUUUCAAGCACACAUUAAAGAAGUGUAUGGGAUCACAUAACGUAAGUGAUGAACAAAUAGAAAAGCUAUUUAUGAAAAUUGACUAUUCUGCAACUGAGAGAAUUCAGUGGCAUGACUUCUGCACAUACAUGCAACUAGAAUAUGCAGAACAAGAUGGGUCAUCUGCUCGACUGAAAGAUGUCACAUUUUCAC
rnacentral:lncRNA from 1 species